UACGUAGGUGACAAGCGUUAUCCGGAUUUACUGGGCGUAAAGGGCGUGUAGGCGGUCUUACAAGUCAGAUGUGAAAUUCCCGGGCUCAACUUGGGCGCUGCAUCUGAAACUGCAAGACUUGAGUGCUGGAGGGGAUAGCGGAAUUCCUAGUGGAGCGGUAAAAUGCGCAGAGAUUAGGAAGAACACCGGUGGCGAAGGCGGCUAUCUGGACAGUAACUGACGCUGAGGCGCGAAAGCGUGGGGAG
rnacentral:rRNA from 1 species